GCUAAUACCGGAUAAUAUUAGGAAUCACAUGAUUCCGUAUUGAAAGAUGGCUUCGGCUAUCACUUACAGAUGGGCCCGCGGCGCAUUAGCUAGUUGGUGAGGUAACGGCUCACCAAGGCGACGAUGCGUAGCCGACCUGAGAGGGUGAUCGGCCACACUGGGACUGAGACACGGCCCAGACUCCUACGGGAGGCAGCAGUAGGGAAUCUUCCGCAAUGGACGAAAGUCCGACGGAGCAACGCCGCGUGAGUGAUGAAGGCCUUCGGGUCGUAAAACUCUGUUGUUAGG
rnacentral:rRNA from 1 species